UGCCAAAAAUAAUGAAGAACUGCUGAAUUAUUGGCAUUGGUACAGAAAUUUGUCUUAAAUUCUCUGGAGAUUCACCAUGAAUGGCAGGAAGAAGGCAAGAAUUCUAAACAGAAAAGUACAGAAUGAGUAACACAAUCCUUCAGCUGCAGGCAAAAUGCUCUCACUACAGCUAAUGUUAGAGUAUUUACAAACUCAUUUAACAUCAAGUCUACCCUUGACCUAACUGCUAACCAGAGGGAAACCAAGAUGAACUAAUAAGAGUGGGCAAAACAUAUUUAAAGAUGCAAGUGAACAAUACAUUAUUUGAAAAACAACCCCUCAGGCUGUGCAGCAGUCCCUGCACUGGAGAGUCUGCCUCAGUUUUUGUGCUCAAGUCUAAACGUGGAACAUGAACAGCCUUCUGGCUGACAGGCAAAAUGGAGAAGAUCAACAAUGUUGUUUGAAGCAUGUUUUGAAGUCCAUUUAGGAGGGAACCAAUAAAGGAAAGUUGUCCUCUUACCUACCGCUCAGCAUAAAUAUGUCUGCUGCGAGGUAGACAGCUAGGGUAAAGCAAUCUGCAAAUUCAAGACAAGAUGGAAUCUGAUCAAGAAAUGGGUUAAAAUCUUCAAGAAGACCAAUAAGAAAAGGAUUUUAAUGGAAUCAAGUUUAAUCCUCAAAUGAAUACCUCAAGGUUACAAGAGCUGCUGAAUGAGCAGCUGAACACGCAUUCAACAGCAGGCAAGGACCCCACCAGUGCUACUUCACGGGAUUUCAGCCACUUUCAGGAGUAAAGUCUGCAAAAUGACUAGCAAAUGUGUAUCAAGUGACAAGGACUCCAUUACUCCCAAAAUGAAGAGGAAAGUUAUUACUUUGGAACAGAAAUUAGAAGUGCUAUGACAUGAUGAAGUUGGAGAGAAGGCAGCAGCCAUGGCUAGUUCACUUGGACUUCUACUAAUGACUGUGUCCACCAUCAAGAACAAAAAUAAGAUAAUGGCUAGUGACCAAAAUGCUAUUCCUCUAAGCGCUAUGAAGAUUAUCUAUAUAAUGUGCAGCAUGUUAGAAUAUAUGGAACCAACUUGAACGUAUGGGUUAUGCCAGUUAACUGACCAACCAAAGAAUGGCAAAGAAUUUGUUUGAUUAAUAAGGAGCUGCUUCAGCUUGAGCUGAAGCGAGCUCUAUCAGAAGGUGAAGAAGCGGAGGAAUUAUCACACAGCAAACAAUACAAGUUGGAGGCUUUCAAGCUAACUGAAGGAGCACUGAAAUUUUUUGAAGAUAGUGAUCCUUCUUUGGAAAUGCUAUAAAUAUGUAUAUCCAAGAACUACAUGUUUUAAAAAAAAAUUGGAAGGAUAUUGAGUUAUUUGGACACUGUCUUGGAAACUGACCUUUUUUAAAAGGUGACAAGUUCACUUGGGACUGUGGGAAAACUGCCUUUUCCAACGAGUCACAUGACUUCAGCUAAAUAACCAGCAAGGCACCUGAAGAGAUAAGAACUAUUUGCUUACUUGAACUUUAAUUAAUGGAAAAAAAAUACUGUUUUCAGACUUGAGGCCUUGGUGAUUUUCUGGAAACUACCUAACUGAGAUGAGUUUCUGUUUUGAACUUGUGUUUUGAACUUAGUUUUGGGAAAACAGAAAAGGAGAAGGUUGCCCAACUCGCUCUCUCCUUCCCUCAACUGAAAUUCAGUGUAGUUAUCAGUGUCCAGCGAGAAAUCCUCAUCUCAAUAUAACUCAUCUGUAUUUGGAAAUCUGAGAAGCUGAGAUGAGAGAGAGAUCCCAAGGACAUUGAUUCCAUUCAGUUCUCCUCCACACUGAAGCUCCUUUGGAAAGAACUCCCAGACAAUUACUGUGACCAGCGAUCAGUCUUUGUACACAGGUACACCAGAUCGACAGUGUCAAAGCCCUUUGAACUAAGUCCUUUCUCAUAAUUUUUUCACAAUGGCCAGAGGUUUUUUCCUUUAAUAUGCCAGCCUCUACAGGGACCCUAUUUGUUUUGUCCUUUGUGUGUAUGUGUAUAUGUUGGGAUUUAGAGGAGUAUAUAGUUACACUUCUGGAUUACAAAUUGUAUGUUAACCAGUUUUUUGCAACUUUUUUUUAAAAAGAAGUUUUGUUUCAUAAU